GGGUUCGAUUCCGGAGAGGGAGCCUGAGAAACGGCUACCNNNNNNNNNNNNGGCAGCAGGCGCGCAAAUUACCCAAUCCCGACACGGGGAGGUAGUGACAAUAAAUAACAAUACGGGGCUCUUUCGGGUCUCGUAAUUGGAAUGAGUACAAUUUAAAUCCCUUAACGAGGAACAAUUGGAGGGCAAGUCUGGUGCCAGCAGCCGCGGUAAUUCCAGCUCCAAUAGCGUAUAUUAAAGUUGUUGCAGUUAAAAAGCUCGUAGUUGAAUUUCGGGAUUGACACAUCGGUCGUGCCUUAAGGGGUAUGAACUGGUGUAGUCAAUUUCUCACCUUCUGGAGAACCGCGAUGCCCUUAAUUGGGUGUCGCGGGGAACCAGGACCUUUACUUUGAAAAAAUUAGAGUGUUUAAAGCAGGCAUUUUGCUUGAAUACAUUAGCAUGGAAUAAUAAAAUAGGACGGCAUGAUUCUAUUUUGUUGGUUUCUAGGAUCACCGUAAUGAUUAAUAGGGAUAGUUGGGGGCAUUAGUAUUCAAUUGUCAGAGGUGAAAUUCUUGGAUUUAUUGAAGACUAACUACUGCNAAAGCAUUUGCCAAGGAUGUUUUCAUUAAUCAAGAACGAAAGUUAGGGGAUCGAA
rnacentral:rRNA from 1 species